CAGCGCCACAAGUGGGAAUCGUGUUUAUUGGGCCUAAAGCGUCCGUAGCCGGUUUAGUAAAUCUUUUGUGAAAUCUCUAGGCUCAACCUGGAGGCGUGCAGAAGAGACUGCUAAACCAGGGACCGGGAGGAGUCAGAAGUAUGGGGUGGGGAGCGGUAAAAUGUGAUAAUCCACCUUAGACUACCUGUGGCGAAGGCGUCUGACUAGAACGGGUCCGACGGUGAGGGACGAAAGCCAGGGGAGCGAUCCGGAUUAGAUACCCGCGUAGUCC
rnacentral:rRNA from 1 species